rnacentral:snRNA from 2 species
AGGUGUGAGGGUGAUCUGGCUGUGACAUCUGUUACUCCAUUGAUUGCCAGGGUUGAUUGGGCUGAUCUAGGCGGGAGUCCCCUUCCUCACUGCUCCAUGUUUGCCUCUCCUGAAACUGCAUGCUAGGUUGAAGAGGACGACCUUCCUCAAUACAGGAGGGAUAAGGAGGACCUUUCUUUGGUCAAGGGUAUAUGAAUGGCUACGCUUCCCCGCUAGAACCUUUAAACAAGCUUUCAAGGUCCAUUUGUAGGAGGAUGUAGGGUAGUCCAGCUUCUAAGAUUCCAGACACAUCUAAGUGAGGUGCUGUAUGUAUCAGCUACCUUUCUUU